rnacentral:pre_miRNA from 1 species
GCAAGGUGAGGUAGUAGGUUGUAUAGUUUUUGGAAUAAAGCCGCUCCUGUAAAAUAACUAUACAGUUUAUUACCUUUCUUGA